rnacentral:tRNA from 1 species
AGAAAUAUGUCUGAUAAUAGAAUUACUUUGAUAGAGUAAACCAUAGGGGUUUAAAUCCCCUUAUUUCUA